rnacentral:lncRNA from 1 species
UUUUUUUUUUUUUUUUUUUUUUUAAGAUUUUUGUUAUUUAUGAAUGAGAGAAAGAGAGCAGGAGGAGGAGCAGAGAGGGACAAGCGGAUUCUGCACCAAGCAUGGAGCCCAACACAAGGCUCGAUCUCAGGAGCCUGAGAUCAUGACCUGAGCUUAAACCAAGAGUUUCACACUUAAUCUGAGUCACCCAGGCACUCCCUGAGUGCGGGAGGAGGGGGGUGGGGGGCAACUCGAUUUCCCAAUACAUUUGACCAUUACUAUGAAUAUCAGUAUUGUAACAGGGCCACUGCUACACCCUAUCACGCAGUGUGCUAGGAUAUGUGUCCUCAAAGGCUCUGGCACAUUAGUAGAGUUCCAUUCAGUCAUUAACAAUUUGUCCAGUCCAUCAUCACACAGUGUGACUGAAAUGUCCCUCAGAGUGAUGCCAUUUAGGUUUGCAGACUCCCAUUCAGUUUUUUUUUAGGUUCCAAAAGCAAGAGUGGUCUCACAGCAACAUGAGUCUCCACCCUUUCAGGCACCAAAGCCACACUGUCAUGCUUUCAUUGCAUAGGCCACUCAUUCAUUUCUUUACCCUUAGCUCCCAUCUCUCCUCUCCUGUUACACCCAAACUUUUCUACUUUUGGAAGGGGUGUUAGGUUUGGCCACUGUUGCCAGUCCAGGUUGCCAAGAGAAAUACUGUUUAGCAUAUGCUCCCCUCAGGCCUCUUCCACUGGGACAGGGCAGGGACAGGGGAGGAUUCCCUGGGCGCAGAACUAAGGGGAGCUGUCAGACUGCUUUGCAAUAUAGCUACAUUUAGUCGUAGCCCCAACUGUGCCAGGUGGGACAAAGGCACAACCUACCCCAUCAGACCCUUAGGAAUCUUGACAUAAAGGCUGAAAAGUACAGUUUCUUACUUAGGGAUCGCCCCUGCUUCUGGAACCUGGUCCUGGGACCAUUACAACAGGUAGGACAGAGGAAGUUGAGGUGAUGUGGGGGAAAAAAGAAAGUGUAGUGAUAUCAGCAUCCUUCCCAUCAUCUCUUCUCCAAAUCUACCCUCCCCCUGAAAAAGUAGAGGAAUCUGUCUAGCGGGUACCUGCUCUGGGCCUCAUGGUGAGUGAGCACACACUCACAAACAUGUAAGCCAGGCCUUCAUGCCUUUAUUCCCCCAUUUUAGACUUUAAAAAAAUGUUUCAACUGCCUGUUCCAAUUCUCCAUUAAACCAUUCCUUUGAAAAUUAUAUCCCUCUGUCCACUGUUGAACAUUAUGUGCUAUAAAAUGUGUUCCUUGGUCUGAAGAUAUGUGAUCUGACAAUCCAUACAGUUCUAGUAUCUUCAGUUCCAGUCCUUUUAUUGUGCCCUGAGCAUUUUUACCUACCAUGGGACUGGCUAUCCUCAGCCCGGAGUACUGUCUGUUCCUGUCAGGGCCCGUUUGUACCCCUUGCCCUCCAGGUUUACAGGCGUCAGUCUGAUUUGCCAGAUACAUGUGGCCACUGCCUGUCAGAAAAACCCAAACCUAGGGGCUUGUACCAUUGUCCAGUUCUUCCAUCAUUGCUGGAAAAAUAGCAUACAAUUCAGCCCACUGAAUUGAUUUGUUUUGAUCUUCAUCAGAGUAGUGGACUUCCAAACAGAAAACUGUCCAUUUACCAUGGAACUCCCCCUCCAUAAACCAACAACUCUGCUGGUUGAUGGAGAGCUUUUCAUGGGGCGUUGCCUGAGGGCUCAGUGGCCAUAGGAUCCAAUAGCUACUCAGGUGGUUCCAGAGCCGUCUUUAGGGAAAAGAGGCUCCUACUCAGGAGUACUUCCUCUCAUUCUCCUGGUAACCUGUUCCGGUAGAAACCAUUUCCGUUUUAUGAUGAAAUACUUCUGGGCAUUACCCUCCUCAUUAAAGAAUUUCCCCCAAUAUCACCCAAGGCAUUGUGGGUUCAGUUUUCAAGGUUAUUUUAUGCCCUUUUAUCAUAGGGAAAAUCGCAGUUCAGUAAUCUCUCUCAAAUGGGAAUUUACUGUCGCAAAUCCCAGCAAUUGCCACUAGGUGGCGCUCGUAGGCUGCAUAUGGGGCUGUGUCCUUCAGCGAAAACCCUGAAUGGGCCCCUGUAAUCUCAGGGCUUCCCAUUCAGCAUGUCCAGUCAAUACUGGCGCAAGGCGGGAUCACCAUGCCUUCCGUUACACAUACAGGCGGAGUAGAUUUAGCAGACUUCUUAAAGGCCCUUAGGAUUUGGGUAACGGUAAAUGAGCACGGACUCAUGCUGAAAGUCACCAGCCGAACUAUCCCCUAAUGAGAGAGUCAGCCUGUCCCCUGCAGGGGGCCAGACAGGGACUGCUCCUCUAGCUAUGAAAGCCCUAGACAGCAUCACUGUUCAGUAUAAGUCUGUCUGGCCCACACUGAAAUUCUGUUGUUUACUAUAACCAACCUCAUGAAUUAUCUUAGCUACUGGAGAACUUGCAGCUUCUACAUCAGCACCUGCUACUUCACCUUGCAUUUUUAUGUUCUGGGGACAGCUUCCUUCCUUAAGCCCAAGAACUACCUCUGCCAGCUCUGAACUUAUUUUCUGCAACUUCCUCACCCUUCUCUGCCUGCAGAGAGUUGAAGAGAGUGAGUGCCUAGCUCUCCUUUAGGCUUUGGCCAAUUAAGGGAAUGUGGUGGCUGGUUUGAUCUUCUGUGCAGACCACUCAAACUUUCUUCAUAUCAGUAAUAAGGCUGUUUCCCUUUAUUAUCAUCUGUGUGUUUACUGGAGGAACACUUUCAAUUUCCUUCAAGAACUUUCCCUUUGCAUUUACCACUUGGCUGACUGCUCAACACAUGAGGCCUAGCUUUCAGCACACUUCUUUGCUCAGCUUAAUAAGCAUUUCUAGCUUUUCAUUUAAAGUGAGAAAUAUAAGACUCUUCCUUUAACUUAAACACUUAGAGACCACUGUAGAAUUAUUAAUUGGCCUAAUCUCAAUAUUGUUGUGUCUCUGGGAAUAGGGAGGCCCUAGGAGAGGGGGAAAGACAGGGCAACGGCCAGUUGAGCAGUCAUAACACACACAACACAUAUCAAUUAAGUUCAUCAUCUUGGGCAGCCCGGGUGGCUCAGCGGGUUACCGCCGCCUUCAGCCCAAGGCGUGAUACUGGGGACCCGGGAUCGAGUCCCACAUCGGGCUCCCUGUAUGGAGCCUGCUUCUCCCUCUGCCUGUGUCUCUGCCCCCCUCUCUCUGUGUGUCUCUCAUGAAUAAAUAAAUAAAAUCUUAAAAAAAACAAAGUUCAUAAUCUUAAGUGG